CUUUGGUUUCAUUUUUCUAUUUUCCUGUCUUGUUUAUCCUAGCAUUAUGCCCAUCGGACGGCCCUCAGCCACUGUAAUUUAUCAUCCAAAAAAGCACAGCCGUCCGAUUCAUAUCUGCCGCAAUCUUCUUUCUUUUUUUAAUUUAUAUUAUACAUUAUUUUUUUCUUCGAGACUGCUUCUUUUAUUUGAAUUUUUGUAGUCUUGUAGAAGUUGCAGAGAAGGCACUUUUUUAGCUCUGAAAGCUAGCUUUUGUUGAGAGAUACUAUGGAUUUUUUUUUAAUUUAUAUAAAUUAUUAUUAAUUUUUGGUGGGAUGGGACAGGUGUGCACCAGGAGAUGGAAA
rnacentral:misc_RNA from 1 species